rnacentral:rRNA from 1 species
CCUACGGGUGGCAGCAGUGGGGAAUAUUGGACAAUGGGGGGAACCCUGAUCCAGCGACGCCGCGUGAGUGAAGAAGUAUUUCGGCAUGUAAAGCUCUAUCAGCAGGGAAGAUAGAAAUGAUGGUACAUGACUAAGAAGCCCCUGCUAACUACGUGCCAGCCGCCGCGGUAAUACGUAGGGGGCAAGCGUUAUCCGGAUUUACUGGGUGUAAGGGGAGCGUAGACGGCGAUGCAAGUCUGGAGUGAAAGGCGGGGGCCCAACCCCGGGACUGCUUUGGAAACUGUAUGGCUGGAGUGCAGGAGAGGUAAGUGGAAUUCCUAGUGUAGCGGUGAAAUGCGUAGAUAUUAGGAGGAACACCAGCGGCGAAGGCGGCUUACUGGACUGUAACUGACGUUGAGGCUCGAAAGCGUGGGGAGCAAACAGGAUUAGAUACCCUAGUAGUC